CGGGUGAGUAACGCGUGGGUAACCUGCCUCAUACAGGGGGAUAACAGUUAGAAAUGACUGCUAAUACCGCAUAAGCGCACAGUGCUGCAUGGCACAGUGUGAAAAACUCCGGUGGUAUGAGAUGGACCCGCGUCUGAUUAGCUAGUUGGUGGGGUAACGGCCUACCAAGGCGACGAUCAGUAGCCGGCCUGAGAGGGUGAACGGCCACAUUGGGACUGGGACACGGCCCAA
rnacentral:rRNA from 1 species